UACGGAGGAUGCAAGCGUUAUCCGGAAUGAUUGGGCGUAAAGCGUCCGCAGGUGGCUGUGUAAGUCUGCUGUCAAAGAGCGAAGCUCAACUUCGUAAAGGCAGUGGAAACUACACAGCUAGAGUGCGUUCGGGGCAGAGGGAAUUCCUGGUGUAGCGGUGAAAUGCGUAGAGAUCAGGAAGAACACCGGUGGCGAAGGCGCUCUGCUAGGCCGCAACUGACACUGAGGGACGAAAGCUAGGGGAGCAAACGGG
rnacentral:rRNA from 1 species